rnacentral:rRNA from 1 species
UACGUAGGGUCCAAGCGUUAAUCGGAAUUACUGGGCGUAAAGCGUGCGCAGGCGGUUUUGUAAGACGGCUGUGAAAUCCCCGGGCUCAACCUGGGAACUGCAUUCGUGACUGCAAGGCUAGAGUGUGGCAGAGGGAGGUGGAAUUCCGCGUGUAGCAGUGAAAUGCGUAGAGAUGCGGAGGAACACCGAUGGCGAAGGCAGCCUCCUGGGAUAACACUGACGCUCAUGCACGAAAGCGUGGGGAGCAAACAGG